AAGAGGAAACCUGUACCAGGGUCGGCCACGCCAGGGAGCAGAGGUUAGAGGCUUAGCCUGGGCUAGGCCACCAGAGCCAAGCACCAUCCGGCACAGUAGUCAGACCCCCCAGGAUUCCUCCCUGAGGUGUCAGAGCUCUGAAGGCCCCCUACCGCCCUGCUGCACAUCACCCUGCUGCCUCCAGGCGCUGCCCCUGCCCUGGCUGGAAGAGGCCUUUCCUCUUCUCAGGCUGUAGACAAGAAAUCUCAGAGAAAGGAAGCUGGAGAAAUCAGAAGUGGCUACUGCUCAGCAAUGCAGAAGGCGCCGCCCCACCAAAGUGUAACCAAGAGCCAGACGACAGCACCCCAGAUGUCUGCAGAGCUUCCCAGCAUGGCAAAUCUUCAGGACCUAGUCUAGGACUCCUUCAGGAACCACAGGAGGUGGCACCGAGGAGACCCUCCUGCUCUCGGGUGCUGUGAUGCCCGCCGAUGGGACCCACUUCACGGAGCAAGGGUCCUCAGCUGUCAGAGACCAGCUUUCAGGUGGGCAGGUGCACCCGGGAUGCUCCUGCACAGCAGUGCUCAUUGCCUGGAGUGCAGCUUAGGCCAAAGCUGGCUUGGACCUUCUACUGUCGCUCUGGGAGAGUGCACCCCUCAUCUCUCCCUUGGUGAGCCGUGCAUCUAGCUGGGUCUGCUUCUCUCCAAUCAGUCCUCCUCAUGGCAUCAGAGUGAUUUCCUAAUUGUAAAUCUAAAUGAGUCUAGCUUAAAGUCUUUUCCACUACCCUCAGGAGAAAAGUCUAAAUUCUUUAGGGUGACUUUCUCUGCUCUCUGAACUCCUUCCACACAAAACCAUUUGCAACACCCCCCACCUGACCCCCCAGUACAUGCUGUUUCCUCCUCCUGGAACACUGCCUCACCCACCUGUCUCCCCUCACCUCACAAGCAUCUUCUACCUAGGACAUGCUACCCAUCCUGGAGGCUAAUUUAGAUGCUGUCGGAGAUUUUUGCUCAGCCCAACCCCUGCUUCUGUGAGAACUGCCCCACCCAAUGUCACCUGCCCAUCCCUCACCCAGAACUGCAGUCGCCUUGGCUGUGAUCCGCCCCCUUCUUGGCCAUGGCACCUGGGGCCAGGGCUGGACCAAUGCAGAGGCUGGACUGGGCUUUUCAGAUUCUUCCUCCUAGGAAUCUGGAACCCGGGAGGCUAAAAGACUUGUUCAAGUAGCUGCAGGGCUGCUCUUUGAUGUAAUAUGGCCACUGAGAAACUCAUUUGAAUAUAGUUAUAAAACAAUGAAACGUAAUUACCCUUUCUCUCUC